GUUUUAAUAGUUUAUAAAAAACUUUGGUCUUGUAAACCAACAAUGAAUUAAUUUGUUCUUAAAACU
rnacentral:tRNA from 1 species